GGGGGCUUGGCGAAAGGCUAAUUGUCUAAUGUAACAGAGUAGUUAUGCAAUGGCAUUUGCAAGAAACCUACCAUAAAUGAACUGACCAAUAUUCAUAUCUACUUUCUUUUUAGAUGAGUCAACACCACAACUUUUCCUGACAAGCCCGGGGGUUCGACCGGAGCGGUCUCCCAGAAAAACUUCCCCGCGCUGACUGCAGCAGACGCGGAGGACUUGAUUGGGCAAGGGCUGAAGUUUGCCCCACACAGACGGUCAGCUGAGAAGGACUGAGCCUUCAAAACCAUGGAGCUCUAUUUUUUAUUGUUUUGCAGAAGCAAGAGCUGUUGGCCAUCUUCUACACUGCUGCCAUCCUCCUGCCUCCCCCCCUCUGGCGGGCGCUACAGAUCCCUGCACACAAACAACCAGACACAAGAGCAGCUUCUUUCCCUCUGCCAUCACUCUCCUGAACUGCUGAUAAGUGGGCUCAUCCCCACUUUGGCCAUUC